AACGCUAGCUACAGGCUUAACACAUGCAAGUCGAGGGGAAACGACAUCGAAAGCUUGCUUUUGAUGGGCGUCGACCGGCGCACGGGUGAGUAACGCGUAUCCAGCCUGCCCACCACUUGGGGAUAACCUUGCGAAAGUAAGACUAAUACCCAAUGAUAUCGCUAGAAGACAUCUGAAAGAGAUUAAAGAUUUAUCGGUGAUGGAUGGGGAUGCGUCUGAUUAGCUUGUUGGCGGGGUAACGGCCCACCAAGGCGACGAUCAGUAGGGGUUCUGAGAGGAAGGUCCCCCACAUUGGAACUGAGACACGGUCCAAACUCCUACGGGAGGCAGCAGUGAGGAAUAUUGGUCAAUGGGCGAGAGCCUGAACCAGCCAAGUAGCGUGCAGGAUGACGGCCCUAUGGGUUGUAAACUGCUUUUAUAAGGGAAUAAAGUUAGUCUCGUGAGACUUUUUGCAUGUACCUUAUGAAUAAGGACCGGCUAAUUCCGUGCCAGCAGCCGCGGUAAUACGGAAGGUCCGGGCGUUAUCCGGAUUUAUUGGGUUUAAAGGGAGCGUAGGCCGGAGAUUAAGCGUGUUGUGAAAUGUAGGCGCUCAACGUCUGCACUGCAGCGCGAACUGGUUUCCUUGAGUACGCACAAAGUGGGCGGAAUUCGUGGUGUAGCGGUGAAAUGCUUAGAUAUCACGAAGAACUCCGAUUG
rnacentral:rRNA from 1 species